GCGGGUGUAGCUCAGUGGUAGAGCACGAGGUUUCCAUCCUCGGUGUCGCGGGUUCGAUCCCCGCCGCCCGCU
rnacentral:tRNA from 1 species